rnacentral:rRNA from 1 species
AUGCAGUCGACGGGCUCUUCGGAGCAAGUGGCGGACGGGUGAGUAACGCGUGAGAAUGUGCCUUGAGGAUGGGGAUAACAAUAGGAAACUAAUGCUAAGACCCAAUGUGCCUUAAGUGGUGAAAAAUGAAAAUUGCCUGAAGAGGAGCUCGCGUCUGAUUAGCUAGUUGGGGUGGUAAAAGCGCACCAAGGCGACGAUCAGUAGCUGGUCUGAGAGGAUGAGCAGCCACACUGGGACUGAGACACGGCCCAGACUCCUACGGGAGGCAGCAGUGGGGAAUUUUCCGCAAUGGGCGCAAGCCUGACGGAGCAAUACCGCGUGAGGGAGGAAGGCUUUUGGGUUGUAAACCUCAAAAAUUAGGGAAGAAGAAAGUGACGGUACCUAAUCUAAGCAUCGGCUAACUCCGUGCCAGCAGCCGCGGUAAUACG